GGCCUCCGAUUCGAUCAGAGCAAUCAGAAACCUGAUUGUCCGAUUAAUCGUGAUUAAUCGUCUGAUCAGGCCUCUUGGUCGAUCAGAGCUGAAUUGGCAGAUGGGCUGCUUUUGGCCUGGGCUAUAUUUAUUUGGGCCAAGCCCAUUAGGGUUUCUCUUAUACACCUCACGCCCACCCUCUCUCUCCUCAGUCCUCAAUCCCAACUCCACCUUUCAUCUGCUGAGCUGUUGAGCCUCCUCCCUCCCUUCCAGUUCCAAUCCAAGCAGCCCACUGCUGCUUGCUGCUUGCUGCUUCCUCCUCCCUCUUCCCUGCUGCCUGCUUUCUCCUCCCUCUUUCCUACUGCAACUGCAAGUCUGCAACUAUAUACAUAUAUAUGAUAUAUAGUCUUGCUAUAUGUUGGACGAUUAUAUGGACGAUUAGUUCGAUCAGAGGUCGAUUAAUCGUCCUGAUCGUCGAUUAAUCGUCCUGUUCGUCCUGAUCGGUACCAGACCGAUUAGAAACGAUAAGCCGAUCAGAAAACAUUGGCUGCAUCUUUGAUGGAGCAAUUCCUAACAUAGCUGAAACCUUGAAGUUGGCCGGUGAUGAGCGUCAACGGUGGACAACGGCAGGGGCUCAUGGGCUAUCCCCAAAUGUAACUUAUGAGAUAAAGAUAAGGGUGUG
rnacentral:lncRNA from 1 species